UUUUAUUUGAGAGUUUGAUCCUGGCUCAGGAUGAACGCUGGCGGCGUGCCUAACACAUGCAAGUUGAGCGAUUUACUUCGGUAAAGAGCGGCGGACGGGUGAGUAACGCGUGGGUAACCUACCCUGUACACACGGAUAACAUACCGAAAGGUAUGCUAAUACGGGAUAAUAUAUUUGAGAGGCAUCUCUUGAAUAUCAAAGGUGAGCCAGUACAGGAUGGA
rnacentral:rRNA from 1 species